rnacentral:tRNA from 1 species
GCCCUCAUAGCUCAAGGGAAGAGCGUCUCCGUCCUAAGGAGAAGAUGGAGGUUCGAUUCCUCCUGAGGGCA